UACGGGGGGGGCAAGCGUUGUUCGGAAUUACUGGGCGUAAAGGGCGCGUAGGCGGGUGGACAAGUCUCUCGUGAAAGCCCACGGCUCAACCGUGGAAUUGUGUGAGAUACUGUCUGUCUUGAGUCCGGGAGAGGAGGGUGGAAUUCCCAGUGUAGCGGUGAAAUGCGUAGAUAUUGGGAGGAACACCGGUGGCGAAGGCGGCUCUCUGGACCGGUACUGACGCUGAGGCGCGAAAGCUAGGGGAGCAAACGGG
rnacentral:rRNA from 1 species